rnacentral:rRNA from 1 species
GACGAACGCUGGCGGCGUGCUUAACACAUGCAAGUCGAACGGAAAGGCCCUGCUUUUGUGGGGUGCUCGAGUGGCGAACGGGUGAGUAACACGUGAGUAACCUGCCCUUGACUUUGGGAUAACUUCAGGAAACUGGGGCUAAUACCGGAUAGGAGCUCCUGCUGCAUGGUGGGGGUUGGAAAGUUUCGGCGGUUGGGGAUGGACUCGCGGCUUAUCAGCUUGUUGGUGGGGUAGUGGCUUACCAAGGCUUUGACGGGUAGCCGGCCUGAGAGGGUGACCGGCCACAUUGGGACUGAGAUACGGCCCAGACUUCUACGGGAGGCAGCAGUGGGGAAUAUUGCACAAUGGGCGGAAGCCUGAUGCAGCAACGCCGUGUGCGGGAUGACGGCCUUCGGGUUGUAAACCGCUUUCGCCUGUGACGAAGCGUGAGUGACGGUAAUGGGUAAAGAAGCACCGGCUAACUACGUG